UACGAAGGGAGCUAGCGUUGUUCGGAAUCACUGGGCGUAAAGCGCACGUAGGCGGAUGUGUCAGUCAGGGGUGAAAUCCCGGAGCUCAACUUCGGAACUGCCUUUGAUACAGCACGUCUUGAGUCCGAUAGAGGUGGGUGGAAUUCCUAGUGUAGAGGUGAAAUGCGUAGAUAUCGGGAGGAACACCAGUGGCGAAGGCGACUACCUGGCCUGUUCUUGACGCUGAGGCGCGAAAGCUAGGGGAGCAAACGGG
rnacentral:rRNA from 1 species